rnacentral:tRNA from 1 species
UGUUCUGUGGUUUAGUUGGUUAAAGCUUCGGACUACUGAUACGAAGUCAUGGGUUCGAUUCCCACUGGACCGU